UUGAUUUAAUAUUUUGGAACA
rnacentral:piRNA from 1 species